ensembl:misc_RNA Metazoa_SRP Metazoan signal recognition particle RNA
GCUGGGCGUGGUGGCUCACGCCUGUAAUCCUAGCACUUUGGGAGGCCGAGGCGGGUGGAUCACCUGAGGUCAGGAGUUCAAGAACAAGCCUGACCAACAUGGUGAAUCCCCGACUCUA